rnacentral:misc_RNA from 1 species
GAUGAAGAACGUAGUGAAAUGCGAUAAGUAAUGUGAAUUGCAGAAUUCAGUGAAUCAUCGAAUCUUUGAACGCACAUUGCGCCCGCGAGUAUUCUCGCGGGCAUGCCUGUCCGAGCGUCAUUUCAACCCUCAGGGCCCGCCUGCUUCGGCAGGCGCGGCGCUGGUGUUGGGGAUCGGCCUAACCGCCGUCCCCCAAAUACAGUGGCGGUCUCGCUGCAGCCUCCCCUGCGUAGUAGCAACACUCGCAUGCGGAGCACGGCGCGGCCACGCCGUAAAACCCCCGACUUUCUGAACGUUGACCUCGGAUCAGGUAGGAAUACCCGCUGAACUUAAGCAUAUCAAUAAGCGGAGGA